rnacentral:sRNA from 1 species
AACCCUCUAUCAGCAAGCUCGGCUGCAUGAGCGUGGUGCUGCGGAGAUGGUCCUUCAGAUGAUAAGCGCUAGCAAAGGUGAGAUGAGCCCCAUGGUGGUUGAGACGCUGAAGCUGGGGAUCGCCAUUCUGAACGGAGGCAAUGCUGGUGUGCAACAGAAAAUGCUAGAUUACCUAAAGGAGAAAAAGGAUGCUGGAUUCUUUCAAAGCCUUUCUGGUCUUAUGCAGUCUUGCAGUGUCCUUGAUUUGAAUGCAUUUGAGAGGCAGAAUAAAGCUGAAGGCCUGGGGAUGGUGACUGAAGAAGGAACACGUAAGUAACUAAUGAAUAUGAAGGCCAUUCUCUUCCUGAUUAAAAUAUAUAUAUAUUUUUUCCAUACAGAGUUUCGCUCUUGUUGCUCAGGCUGGACUGCAGUGGCGCGAUCUCACCUCACUGCAACCUCUG